UACGUAGGGUGCAGGCGUUAAUCGGAAUUACUGGGCGUAAAGCGUGCGCAGGCGGUUUUGUAAGCCAGAUGUGAAAGCCCCGGGCUCAACCUGGGAACGGCGUUUGGAACUACAAGACUAGAGUGCGUCAGAGGGGGGUGGAAUGCCGCGUGUAGCAGUGAAAUGCGUAGAGAUGCGGCGGAACACCGAUGGCGAAGGCAGCCCCCUGGGAUGACACUGACGCUCAUGCACGAAAGCGUGGGGAGCAAACAGG
rnacentral:rRNA from 1 species